rnacentral:misc_RNA from 1 species
AUAAGGCUUUAUAUCUGUAUUUAUGGCUUUAUGCCUGUACUCAUUGCUUGUAUGCCCGAUUAUCUGUUAUCAUGGUUUUUAGUCAUACUGAUCUGUUAUCAUGGCUUUCAGCAAUACUGACUGCAUACGUUGUUGACGUUCCUUAUUUCACGUCCCAUGGCAUGACGGCCCGAGACACCACGGUGUCCAGUACCCACGACCAGUUAUCCUGUUUAGUCAGCCUGUCAUAGGUUAUUUGGGCAGUGAAAUUUAUUGAAAUAAGUUAAGGAUAUUAGCAAUUAAAAAUAUUAGAAAUUAAAUAAAAUAAAUGAGUAAGAUGACCUAAAAUAAAUUAGAAUAGUUAUUUAUUAGAAAGAAUCGAAAUGAACUAGACCGGUAUCAAAAUUUACUUAUUACGAAACAAUCUGAGACAACCUAGAAAGUAUUGAGAAAAUGCUAAAAGAUUAGCAAAGAAAAUUAUAACAUACAUAAAUAUUGCAAAUGUGACUUACAUGAUAAUAUAAGCAUAAAUUUAUCAUUUUUAUAUCUUUUUUCUUUGUACAUUAUUACUAUACAUUGGCGAAAUAAACACUUCCAAAGAAGACUAAAUUAGGAUAAAACAUAUUAAAUUUUAGAAUCGCAUGUGAAGUAUAAAUAAAUCUUAAUUAUUUAAAUUAUGUUUUAUUUCUAUCUUUAUUUGUAUAUUAUUUCCUUGUU